AUUUCCCUGGGCAGGAGGGGGUUCCUCAGCACGGUGGUUUGGGGUUGUGGGCUAUGUGGGAAGCAGCUCCUCCGUUGCCACGAGUGGUUGCAGGAGUCACCCCAAAAAGAGAGUGUCGGCCCUGGUGAGCAGAGCACAGCAGGAGGGGCAGAGCACCCACAAAGCUUGAUGACAUCUGUCCUUGUCUGAAGGCUCGAUUACAUCAGGUGUUCUGAAAUGGUUUCCUGGUUGAUGCAGUCUCCAGAAAAACAAGCUCUGGACAUCAUGGCUUGUGUCCACCGUGCUUACCUGUCUCAUCUGAAAAGCAGGUCUACAUCUUUGCUGUUCUGAGGAUCCCAGAGCUGGAUGCAGUGCUCCAGGUGGGUCUCACAAGGGCAGAGUUGAGGGAUAGAAUCUCCUCUCUCAACCUGCUGGCCCCUCUCCUGAUGCAGCCCAGGACAGAGCUGCCCUCUCUGGGCUGUGAGUGCACACUGAUGUGUCUUGUAUUCCCUGCUCUCUUCAGUGCAUGUUUAUCAGGUCUCUGUACACUUAGUGUCACUUGGCACUGAGAAUGAAAGAAGAAAAUUACAGACAGAAAUUACAUUCCUAAUAGAUCAUGCUGUCUUCCUGAUCUUACCUUCACACACUGAUCUGAGCCUCUUUCUCCUCUUCAUGUUAGCUCUUCCCUGGGAUCAUUGUUUCCUUUGUUGAGCUUCCAGAAUAACCUGCUUGAAAACUCAGUUCUCUUGUGUUGUACGUGAAGCUGUACCAACACAUUUAUAUAAUCUGUCAGCUGAAACAAGGAACAAAAAUAGAAAUAGUCACGCAAUGUACUAGUCAUUCAUAAAAUGAACUGCACAGCUUUGCAGCAAGGCAUAGUAAAGAGAAGUUCCCUGGUGGGCUCUGGCUUAGCAGUUUUCCAGUUGCACUUCACUUGUGCAAAGAGCCCUGAGCACAGGUAGGGGCACGGCUGCAGAAGCCCAGCAGGCUGCUGUGCUGUGCUGUGCUGCCAGGGAGGGAAGCAGCAGCUGCCCUCCCAGCUUUAGCUUCUGCAGGGAAUUUUCUCUUUACCCCAAUUGCAUAAAUAACCAGGAGACCCAAUUCUAGCUGCUACAACUGACACACAUGUGGAUUUCCUCCAGGAAAACAGUCAAAUUCCUCUGUAAUCUAACAUGACUUUCCAACUACCAUAAGCAGCUUAUCUUUUUCUUCUGUGACAGUGUUUCUAAGUCAUAGGAUUUUGCAGAUGGAAUUUUAAGCCAUGAAGAAUAGAGCUAUCUGCACUGAGGUAGCUGGAACCAUUAUUUUGCCAAGUUUAUCAAAAGCCUUUGUUUUGCACAGAGUUCAGAUAAUAUUUUGGUAAAAUUAGGAGCCUGGAAGGGGAUGAAUCUGAAUGAGUUUUCUGAUGAUGCAUGUGUCUGCUAAUUAGGUAUUAUAGAGACCUUUGCUUGUAUUAAUUACAUUGGUGAAUGAGAACAGAUUAGUUCUGAUUCAAAUGCAUUACUGCUGCAAAGCCCAUCAGAGGGUACUGGUGGAGAACCAAUUGUGGAUCAUAAAUAAAAUGAGAGAACAUGAU